UACAGAGGGUGCGAGCGUUGUUCGGAAUUACUGGGCGUAGAGCGCGCGCAGGCGGCCCUUUAAGUCUACCCGUGAAAUGCCGGAGCUCAACUCCGUGCACGCCGGGGGAUACUGGGGGGCUGGAGACAUGUAGAGGCAAGCGGAAUUCCGGGUGUAGCGGUGGAAUGCGUAGAUAUCUGGAGGAACACCGGUGGCGAAGGCGACAUCCUGGACCGGUAUUGACGCUGAGGCGCGAAAGCCAGGGGAGCAAACGGG
rnacentral:rRNA from 1 species